CGUUGGCUGGACGUAUGCGGAAGUUCCCAUGAUCCUCUGCGCCAGAUCUGUGUGAAUGUGUUGUGUGCAGCGCGCUGUGUGCAAAUAAGAAAAUAAAGAUGGCGGCUGAUGGAAUCCCGGGCACAGAGCCAAACCCGGACCUGAACUCAUGGAGCGGCCCCGAGUUACAGGCCAAACUGACAGAGAUCGGAGCGCCUGUUAUGGGCCCGAGAGAAGAGUUAAUAGACAGACUGAAAUCCUACAUGAUGCAGUGAGCAAGCCUGUGGCGACGGUGGCAAGGAAAAACUCCCUCAGACAACAUGAGGAAGAAACCUCGAGAGGAACCAGACUCAAAAGGGAACCCAUCCUCAUUUGGGCAACAACAGACAACAGUCAGGACAAACAGACGAGGGCCCAAGUUAAAUGUUGAAUUUAUUGAUAGCAGGGGAAAGGGAGGAUGUGUGUGUGAAGUUCAGUAGCAGGAAGACUGAGAAGCAGGGAUGGCUGGUGGGAGCAUGGUGGUGACAUCUGAUGUCUCCCAUCCAAGUACUAACCAGGCCCAACCCUGCUUAGCUUCUGAGAUCAGACAGGAUCAGGUGUUGUCAGAGUAGUUUGGCUGCAAGCUGAUAGCCCUUGGUGUUCAGGUGGUCUCCCAGUGAGCAGGCUCUCAGCAGGCAGACAGGACAGCACAACAGACAGGAGUUUGGGAACAGGCUGAAACAGAGUCACAGGUCAGGUAGCGAGAAUGGAGACAGAAAAGCAGGGUCAGGUUACCAGGGCUGAAGAGUUGUCGGAGUCGAUGCCUUGAAAGACAAUCUGACACUGAAGCUUGGGAGGACUGCAGUUUAAAUAUACACAGGGAAGGGAGCAGGUGAUAGGAACCAGCCAAUGACAGCCACUGAAAGUCAAAUGAGGGUUAAUGAUGGUAAUUGACAGCAGGUGAGCCUGAUGGGGAAGGAGCAUGCGGGCGUGGCAGGUAAUACAGAGUGGAGAGGAGUGGAAUGUUACCUGAAGAGAGGAAACCACAGGUAGGACCAUGACAACAACAUGACUAUAAAAUUAACAGUCCUAACAUAAAGUCAGCUUCAUUGAUGCUAUAAACCCCCCACCGACAGAAACCUGAGCGCAAAACCGUUCACGACAACCACAGUCCCAAAGUCAGCAAGUCAUCUGCAGUCCUAAAGUCAGCAAGUCAACUGCAGUCCCCAGCCAUAAAAGCACCACUGCAAGAGUCCAGAGCAUCCUCCAGGACCCCCAACUGUCCACAUGGGGCCGCCCUCCAUAGGAGCGAUGCGAUGAGACUCCAACCAGAUACAGGGCACCAGGAUGGAUCAGGCAGGUCCGAGGAGCAGAAG